rnacentral:lncRNA from 1 species
CCCGCGAAACUUUCUUGUCCCUCGAGAACUCUCCUCAGCAGACCUAUAUCUCUCUCUCACUGAAGACCUCGGAAGCUAUUUGUAGAAGCAGAAGAACCCAUGGUGGACGGCCAAAUCAGUGUACAUGCUAUUGACUCCUUUAAUUCGGAUUCCUGGAUUAUCUCUUUUAUGCAGGUUUUUAGUAUUUGUUUUUCUCUCUCUUUUCUUUAUAGAUUGACUUGAAUGUUCAGUUUUCCCCUGUUUAGACCAUAUGCUUUUGAUUUACGACUCUCUUUUUUUUUUUUGCUUUAUCUUUUUCGAAACAGACUUGAAAAGGGUUUCUUCGAUGGCGGAUAAUUUGAUGAAUGGUGUAGUAAUGGAUCUUGAUUUGAACCAGGAGCCUAUGGAGUCAUCUUCUGGUACUGCUUUAGGAUUAGGGUCUUUGUUGAAUGAUUUGGAAACUGCUAGUAGGAUAGAGCAAAGAAUUC